AGUGAACGCUGGCGGCAGGCCUAACACAUGCAAGUCGAGCGGCAGCGCGUCCGACCACCCUCGGGUGGUCGGAUGGCGGCGAGCGGCGGACGGGUGAGGAAUGCAUCGGAAUCUGCCUCGUUGUGGGGGAUAACGUAGGGAAACUUACGCUAAUACCGCAUACGACCUACGGGUGAAAGUGGGGGACCUUCGGGCCUCACGCGAUGAGAUGAGCCGAUGCCGGAUUAGCUAGUUGGCGGGGUAAAGGCCCACCAAGGCGACGAUCCGUAGCUGGUCUGAGAGGAUGAUCAGCCACACUGGAACUGAGACACGGUCCAGACUCCUACGGGAGGCAGCAGUGGGGAAUAUUGGGCAAUGGGGGAAACCCUGACCCAGCGACGCCGCGUGGGUGAAGAAAUCCUUCGGGAUGUAAAGCCCUGUUGUAUGGGAAGAGCGGAAGACGGUACCAUACGAGGAAGCCCCGGCAAACUACGUG
rnacentral:rRNA from 1 species